rnacentral:rRNA from 1 species
AUGGUGUUCUCCCCUUGCACCAGCAGCCGCCCGUCAAUCGGGAACUCGAAGCUCCACCACCUGCCGUGCUCGCCGUGCCUCGCGAUCGCGUUGUCGUCCCCGAACUCGGGCGUCAAGAACACUCCCCCGGCCGGCCCCUUCCCCGUCGCCCCGUUCACCUGCACCUUCAGCUUGGACAUGUGCGCCGCCGCGAGCGCGAUGCGCAGCGUGUAGGUGCCGCCGCCGGCGACGCGGGGCAGGUUGAACCGGAUCCGCCGCGUCGUCGGCACGUUCUCGCCGUAUCAAUGGCACCUUGUGACAUGCGCGAAGAACCAGUCCUUGAAGGGGUUGCUCACGCCGAUGGUGAAGACGGGGUCGCCGGCGGGGUACAGCUCGGCGUACCGCUCCCACAGCCCGUACUGCCUGUACUUGUCCCUGGCGACGAAGAGCUUGCUGAGAUACCUGGGGUUGGGAUCGGGGACGAAGAACUCGGCGGCGCUCCGGUCUGGCACGCCGAUGUCCCACAGCGUCGGCCCCGAUCGCGGCGGCUCGAACACGAGGUCGCCGAGGGCAACGGCGACGCCGGGCACCACCGUUACCGGAUCCGUGCGCAUGUAGUCGCCGAGGACCCCGGGGACCCAGGCGUAG